rnacentral:rRNA from 1 species
GAGUUUGAUCCUGGCUCAGAUUGAACGCUGGCGGCAUGCUUUACACAUGCAAGUCGAACGGCAGCACGGGAGCUUGCUCCUGGUGGCGAGUGGCGAACGGGUGAGUAAUGCAUCGGAACGUAUCCUGGAGUGGGGGGAUAACGUAGCGAAAGUUACGCUAAUACCGCAUAUUCUGUGAGCAGGAAAGCGGGGGACCUUCGGGCCUCGCGCUCUUGGAGCGGCCGAUGUCGGAUUAGCUAGUUGGUGAGGUAAAGGCUCACCAAGGCGACGAUCCGUAGCAGGCCUGAGAGGAUGAUCUGCCACACUGGAACUGAGACACGGUCCAGACUCCUACGGGAGGCAGCAGUGGGAAUUUUGGACAAUGGGGCAACCCUGAUCCAGCCAUGCCGCGUGAGUGAAGAAGGCCU